AUGUGUCAUUGAUGCAGAAUACCCCAUGCGUCAAGAUAGAAACACCAGGGGGAAGGCGGUGGGUAUGUAUGAAUGCACAGAUGACUCCUUGAAGAAUGACAGUUACAGGUAUGGAAAUCUGUCUUUAUUCUUCAUGGUGUCUGUGCAUCACACAUAUGGGUGACUGGUGAGCUUACCUCUAGGAAGAGGGUGGUGUCGCUAAGUAAAGUGUAGUGGAGAGGACAGAUCUGCCAAAGGUGCAGUCCACUCUUGAUUUGACACUGAGGCAGUAGUGUCUAACAAAGCUUGAUGGAUUCGACCAUAUUGUUGCCUUACAGAGGUCAGUCAGGGUGAGUGAUUUUGGUGGCUUUGCUUUCUUUUCUGCCUUUUUUUGUUUUGCCACCUUUGCUGGCAAAGGAGCUGGUGAGUCGUCCGGGGUGGAAGCUGAAGCCACUGAGGUGGAUGGCUGAAGGUCCUCGGCAUGCAAGGCAUGGCUCCAAAGUUCCACCUUUAAAUGGUCAGCCUGAUGUUUCCUUGCCUGCUUCGUAAAAGUUUGGCAAUGGUAACAAGAUUCAAUGACACAUGACUCUCCCAAACAGAAAAGACAAACGGAGUGACCAUCAGUUGGAGGAAGUUUGCUACCGUAUUUGGUGCAGUUGUGGAACGCGGCCUUAAGUGCCAUCUUGUCUGGCUGAUGAGGCGCAACAAAGAGGCCUCAGUGGUAAGCACUGUAGGGUGCAAUUUAUCUUCUCUUUUUUCUUUUCUUUUAUUCCCCCCCUUUUUUUUGCUUCGAGCAACAGGGAGAAGACGAGAAGAGAAAAAGAGAUCUCACCUGGUAGGAGUUAUCUCAUAUAACUUGCGAAGCAAGUCGGAACCAAACUUCCUGAUGCGCUCAUGAUGGUGGUCAAAGAAGAACUGAGGUCUCGGCGGGAGCCCUGACCUCAUGCUACCUGUGUUUGGGGCCAAACUCCCACUGAAUACUAAUUAAUCAGCUUUAGAAUCUUCCCAAAAACCGCUCCAUGCAUGCAUGAAGAGCCAAAUGUGUGAUGCACAGGAACCACAAAGAAUAACUGUGGAGUAUAAUCAGAUACAUUAUGCGGGAGGAAUCCAAAAGGGCAAUCUGUGCAAGCAGAAUGAGAGAGAGAGCCUAGAUGAAUGACAGAAGAAACAAUCACAAUUGCUAAAGAAACAAUCACAAUUGCUAAGGACAGUUUUUAAAAAAGAGAGAGAGAAAGAAUUGUUUCAUCCUUUCACAACGCUGGAAUUUAAUGUCACUCAGAAAAGCCAACUGCCAACCAAAAGUGAAAAAGGGAAGUUCCUACGAGUUGUGGUGAAAGGCCCCUUGCCUUAUCCCUAAGGAAAAUACUGAGAUUGGGCCAGCUGAGGCGGCAGCUAACUCAGACAAUCUGCAAGCCUCUGUGGUAGCAGUGGCUUUAUGUAUAUCUAGUUCCUUACCGGCAUUCAAUAAACCACUGGCGAAUCUGA